AACGAACGCUGGCGGCGUGCCUAACACAUGCAAGUCGAGCGAGAAAGCCCGCAAGGGUGAGUACAGCGGCGCACGGGUGCGUAACACGUGAGUAAUCUGCCCUGGAGCCCGGAAUAACCUCCCGAAAGGGAAGCUAAUGCCGGAUGAGCCCACGGGGUCUUCGGACCCAGAGGGAAAAGGCGGCCUCUGUAUACAAGCUGUCACUUCAGGAUGAGCUCGCGGCCCAUCAGCUAGUUGGCGGGGUAAUGGCCCACCAAGACUACGACGGGUAGCUGGUCUGAGAGGACGAUCAGCCACACUGGAACGGAGACACGGUCCAGACUCCUACGGGAGGCAGCAGUGGGGAAUCUUGCGCAAUGGGCGAAAGCCUGACGCAGCAACGCCGCGUGUGUGAUGAAGGUCUUCGGAUCGUAAAGCACUGUCGCGAGGGACGAAUAAGGCGCACGCUAACAUCGUGCGACGAUGACGGUACCUCGAGAGGAAGCACCGGCUAACUCUGUGCCAGCCGCCGCGUAAAAC
rnacentral:rRNA from 1 species